CCUACGGGAGGCAGCAGUGAGGAAUAUUGGUCAAUGGACGAGAGUCUGAACCAGCCAAGUAGCGUGAAGGAUGACUGCCCUAUGGGUUGUAAACUUCUUUUAUAUGGGAAUAAAAUGUUCCACGUGUGGGAUUUUGUAUGUACCAUAUGAAUAAGGCUCGGCUAACUCCGUGCCAGCAGCCGCGGUAAUACGGAGGGUCCGAGCGUUAUCCGGAUUUAUUGGGUUUAAAGGGAGCGUAGGUGGAUUGUUAAGUCAGUUGUGAAAGUUUGCGGCUCAACCGUAAAAUUGCAGUUGAAACUGGCAGUCUUGAGUACAGUAGAGGUGGGCGGAAUUCGUGGUGUAGCGGUGAAAUGCUUAGAUAUCACGAAGAACUCCGAUUGCGAAGGCAGUUCACUGGACUGCAACUGACACUGAGGCUCGAAAGUGUGGGUAUCAAACAGGAUUAGAUACCCUUGUAGUC
rnacentral:rRNA from 1 species